rnacentral:rRNA from 1 species
GACGGAGGAUGCAAGCGUUAUCCGGAAUUAUUGGGCGUAAAGCGUACGUAGGCUGUUAGAUAAGUCUGUUGUCAAAGCGCGAGGCUCAACCUUGUAAAGGCAAUGGAAACUGUUUGACUAGAGAGAGAUAGGGGCAGGAGGAAUUCCAGGUGUAGCGGUGAAAUGCGUAGAUAUCUGGAAGAACACCAGUGGCGAAAGCG